UACGGAGGGUGCGAGCGUUGUCCGGAAUCAUUGGGCGUAAAGGGCGCGUAGGUGGCGGGACAAGCGUGCGGUGGAAGCUCGGGGCUCAACCCCGAGUCGGCCGUGCGAACUGUUUUGCUUGAGCACUGUAGAGGCAGGCGGAAUUCCGGGUGUAGCGGUGGAAUGCGUAGAGAUCCGGAAGAACACCGGUGGCGAAGGCGGCCUGCUGGGCAGUAGCUGACACUGAGGCGCGACAGCGUGGGGAGCAAACAGG
rnacentral:rRNA from 1 species